GUUCAUGCCUUGUACAGCACGUAGAGGGGCGGCCGAAGGCUUAAUAGUCCCAUUUUAGUUGGGUUGGUGGCCUCUUUAGGCUUGUAAAUAAAGGUUGUGUCAUGUGGACACGUGUGAGAGAUUUUCGGUCUAUAAUGGAUCAUUUUACCCUUUGUUGUGCCACUGUUCAGAGCUUGUAAAGUCUGUUUAUAAUUUGCAUUGUCUAUGAAGUGUUUUUCGGAGAUGUUUGCUUGUGGAUCCCGAUUGAGGCGUUCUCUCUAACUCGUUCUCUCUUUUGUUGGUCCUAAGGGACAAUGGGAGACUUCGGGGAGGCUGACCUUUGCGGACGGACACGCAAGGGUGCCGCAUGACUUAGGCAAAACCAGCUAAGUCCGUGACAGAUGGUAUCAGAGCGGGACAAGCACUCAUAGAAACACUUAGCAUGCAAACGUGGGGGACCUAGCGGGGCUGCGUUGAGGGCAGUUAGCACACGCGCGACCGUUUGGGGGAAAACGGGCAUGGAGAUGUAGGGAAAAGGAGUCGCUCGGAGGAGCGGGCAUCUGACAUUGGCAUUCAGAGGAAUGGUCAACCCUUCGCGCAAGAGGCACCACGAGAACAGGCAAGCUUGGAAGAAUGUGGAGCGCACAAAAGUUGG
rnacentral:lncRNA from 1 species